UAACACAUGCAGUCGAACGGUAACAGGAAGCAGCUUGCUGCUUUGCUGACGAGCGGCGGACGGGUGAGUAAUGUCUGGGAAACUGCCUGAUGGAGGGGGAUAACUACUGGAAACGGUAGCUAAUACCGCAUAAUGUCGCAAGACCAAAGAGGGGGACCUUCGGGCCUCUUGCCAUCAGAUGUGCCCAGAUGGGAUUAGCUAGUAGGUGGGGUAACGGCUCACCUAGGCGACGAUCCCUAGCUGGUCUGAGAGGAUGACCAGCCACACUGGAACUGAGACACGGUCCAGACUCCUACGGGAGGCAGCAGUGGGGAAUAUUGCACAAUGGGCGCAAGCCUGAUGCAGCCAUGCCGCGUGUAUGAAGAAGGCCUUCGGGUUGUAAAGUACUUUCAGCGGGGAGGAAGGCGAUGCGGUUAAUAACCGCGUCGAUUGACGUUACCCGCAGAAGAAGCACCGGCUAACUCCGUGCCAGCAGCCGCGGUAAUACGGAGGGUGCAAGCGUUAAUCGGAAUUACUGGGCGUAAAGCGCACGCAGGCGGUCUGUCAAGUCGGAUGUGAAAUCCCCGGGCUCAACCUGGGAACUGCAUCCGAAACUGGCAGGCUUGAGUCUCGUAGAGGGGGGUAGAAUUCCAGGUGUAGCGGUGAAAUGCGUAGAGAUCUGGAGGAAUACCGGUGGCGAAGGCGGCCCCCUGGACGAAGACUGACGCUCAGGUGCGAAAGCGUGNGGAGCAAACAGGAUUAGAUACCCUGGUAGUCCACGCCGUAAACGAUGUCGACUUGGAGGUUGUGCCCUUGAGGCGUGGCUUCCGGAGCUAACGCGUUAAGUCGACCGCC
rnacentral:rRNA from 1 species